rnacentral:rRNA from 1 species
UACGAAGGGGGCUAGCGUUGUUCGGAUUUACUGGGCGUAAAGCGCACGUAGGCGGAUCGUUAAGUCGGGGGUGAAAUCCUGGAGCUCAACUCCAGAACUGCCUUCGAUACUGGCGAUCUCGAGUCCGGAAGAGGUGAGUGGAACUCCUAGUGUAGAGGUGGAAUUCGUAGAUAUUCGCAAGAACACCAGUGGCGAAGGCGGCUCACUGGCCCGGUACUGACGCUGAGGUGCGAAAGCGUGGGGAGCAAACAGG